rnacentral:rRNA from 1 species
CGUAGGGGGCAAGCGUUGUCCGGAAUCAUUGGGCGUAAAGCGCGUGUAGGCGGUUCAGUAAGUCUGCUGUGAAAGUCCAGGGCUCAACCCUGGGAUGCCGGUGGAUACUGCUGGACUAGAGUGCGGAAGAGGCGAGUGGAAUUCCCGGUGUAGCGGUGAAAUGCGCAGAUAUCGGGAGGAACACCAAUUGCGAAGGCAGCUCGCUGGGACGUUACUGACGCUGAGACGCGAAAGCGUGGGGAGCAAACAGGAUUAGAUACCCUGGUAGUCCACGCCGUAAACGAUGGGCACUAGGUGUGGGAGGUGUCGACUCCUUCCGUGCCGAAGCUAACGCAUUAAGUGCCCCGCCUGGGGAGUACGGCCGCAAGGCUA